CCGUAGGUGAACCUGCGGAAGGAUCAUAGUUAUGGAGAGGCGGUCAUUCUUGGCCCCUCGAUACACUCUGGAUGCAAUGCACCUCGGUGCUAGUUGCUGGCCUCUGCGCCGCAACAUAUCUUUGAAUCCAAUCAUGACCACACGUACCCAAAGUAACUUUACAACCGGUAGCGUUGGAUCCCUUGGCACGUCAUUCGAUGAAGACCGUUGCAAAAUGCGAUAAGUGGUGUGAUAUGCAAGUCCAAAACUUAUACGUGAACCAUCGAAUUGUUGAACGCACUGCAUCGAGCCUUACCCAGGAACGAUACGCCCCAUUGAGCGUCAUUACGUCUUCGCGACACCGUCAUUUACCUGACGUGUCCGGGUUCGGGAUUCACAGCUCGCGCUGCGCUUCCUUAGAUACAUUGCUGCACACGGAUCGACAGUCUCCUUGUCAUAAAUGCCAGGGACGGCUUGAGAUGCGCAUGCAAGAUCGGUCUCUCGCGGACCUGAUCGAUCGCAACGGCCGGCUCACGCUGGUCCGCGCACUUCUACACAUGACCUCACGGGGGCGGGACGACCCGCUAGACUUAAGCAUAUUAAUCAGCGGAGGAAAAGAAACUAACAAGGAUUCCCCUAGUAACUGCGAGUGAACAGGGAUGAGCUCAAUGUGUGAA
rnacentral:rRNA from 1 species